rnacentral:rRNA from 1 species
UUACGGUCAAAUCACGCUGAAACACCGGUUCUUGUUCGAUCACCGAAGUUAAGCAUUGUAGAGCCAGGUCAGUACUUAGAUGGGGGACCGCUUGGGAAAACCUGGUACUGUAAGC